GUGGAGAAGAGAUGGGGAGCCCCUAUCCCAACAAGGCUCAGAGACACCUGCUGUUAGGAGCUGCUGGCCUUGCUUGAUCUCCACACUCUGC